GGAAGCAGUUGCAAGGUGAACAGAGCAGAGGGAUGGCAGGUCUACUAUGUUGAUCCCCUCCAUUAGAAGGUGCUCAAAUCAGAGAUAAAGCUGCUGAAGAGCUGCUGACUCUUUGUGGCAGUGCCUAUCUAUGGAUCUAGUUACAGAGGCUACUAAUCUGAGUGCUUUCACUGAUUUCAACAGAGUGGUACCAAUUGGAGGUAUGCAGUAAAGUUCCCUACCUAUUUCAGUCUUUUUCAGCUUCUUGACUGGAGCCAUGGAGGGAGACCAGUGCCGGCUCAUGGAUGGUGCUGGAGGAGCACUGUGCACGGAGGCCACAGUGCUUGGCGUGGUAUUGGACAGCUGGUCCGGUGCCAGAAUGAGUGCCGAGUCCAUUAGGAGCACUCUUAGACGCAUAUUGCGCUCCUUUGUCCUAGGGCUGAAGGACUUGCAGAUAUGGCACUUGUCACUUAUGUGACUCUGACCCCCGGCUGGGUCCCAUUCAGGACUAAUGGAGAAUUUGAGAACUACUACUAAUGGUAACUAAGAAAACUACUAAUUACAGAUAACUAUUUUACUGGAUUUCAAAGUUCGCAAGAACAGAGAAGGAAUCAAUGCUAGCCAAAGCAGCAGACGUUCUAGCACCGUCACUGGUGGCAAGAAGGAACUGAGGGUUGGGGGGAGGCGGCAGCAACUCUUAUACCGCACCAUGCGGGCGCCACUCCAGAGGGCGCCAGAGCCAGUUCUGUACGGAUACUGCUGAGAGAAAAACUUCCGGCAUAGGUGCAUGAGGUGAGCACACAAACCUUAUAUGGAAUGGACAUGAGCAGGCACUUGAAGAAUCAACACUUCUCACCAAAAAAUUCAUUUUUGAAAAAACAGUCAUUUUUCAAAGAAGAAACUUUGGGUGAAAAAUUUCAACCAGCUCUAGUAUACACAAAUUAGUUGGAGGGGAACAAUUCCAAAGUAAGA